rnacentral:rRNA from 2 species
UGCCUGGCGGCGAGAGCGCGGUGGUCCCACCUGACCCCAUGCCGAACUCAGAAGUGAAACGCCGUAGCGCCGAUGGUAGUGUGGGGUCUCCCCAUGCGAGAGUAGGGAACUGCCAGGCAU